CACCAGUCCGUGCAGCUGGCUUGUGGCGACGUGGUCUCGCCCAUGGUGGUUUUUUGGAGCUUCACCAAGCUGGGCUCGCUGGUGCCCAGGGCCGUUGCCAUCAGCAACGGGAUAGAGUCCAAGGUGGAGAAGGCUUCUGCGGCCCUGGGGCAGGUGAGCCUGCAGAACGGCACCCUGGAAGUGAGCGACCUGCAGACGGCUGCCCAAGGGCGCUUCAUGUGCCAGGCAAUGUUCGAGGAGGACGGCGAGAUCAAAGUGGGCUACUUCUACAUAGAGCUGGUCGUGCUAGUUCCCGUUCCGAAGCCCUUCCUGCAGAUGACCGACCCCACGCCAGUGGAAGGCACGGUGGUGACGAUGACGUGUGCGGUGAAGGAGGGGACGCCUCCCAUCGGGUACUCCUGGCACCGCCACACCAACAGGGAGGGUGCGGUGGCUGUCGCGGAAGCUGCCGGUGGGCUGCUGAACCUGACAGCGGCUAACCGGACUGACAUGGGCUGGUACGCCUGCACCGCCCACAACGAGGUCAACAGCCAGACCAGCGACAGGAUGUAUCUCGACGUCAUUUAUGGCCCUGAUGAACCCGUGAUCAACGUUGAGCCGUUUGCUAUUAACCAGAACGGCUUCUCAGCUAACGAGCAGGAGGAGGUGAUCCUGACCUGCCUGGCCCCUUCCAACCCGCCCAGCCACUACAUCUGGUUUUACAACAGCUCCCAGAUCUACUCCGGCCAGAAGUAUGUGAUAGCCAAGAUCUC
rnacentral:lncRNA from 1 species